GUCAGUUUAGUUUAACGAGGGAAAACAACGCCAAUCAAGGCGUAAUCUCGGGUUCGAGUCCCGAAGCUGUCC
rnacentral:tRNA from 1 species